AAGCGCCCAAAGCUGCCACGCCCACACUUUUGAAAAAUGUUUUGAUAUUUGUUCAUAAAAUUUUGAAACACAGUGCUAUUGAAAAAAAAAUUGUGCUAUUGGUGGCUGGUUGGUGUCCUUACAGGCUUAACUUGAUACGUAAAGCGGCGACCUUUGGUUGGUGCCCUUACCAUGUUUGCAAGUCAUAUUGCAAUAAGGGCUCCAUGGUCCCUCGCAGUCCAACAGGCAUUGUUCCUAGUAGACUGGUGUGCUGGCUCUGGGUGGUGGUGUUACAGUUUUAGUUUUCGUAUCGAUUGUGGUUUUAAUGAAUGAGAAAGUUUGGCUUUGGUUUUUUUCUGGUGCUUUUUUAAAUUCAUGUUCUAAAAAGUAAAGCUCUGCUUGUAAUUUGCGAGUAGUUGACCGGGCUGGUAGCGUUUGAGAAUAUAAUAGCCACCUUAGGUGAGCUAUUCUCUUUUUUAAUUUUUGCCGCACACCGCCGCGCUUUUUUCCCAUUGCCUUACUCUACUCACUCGGAAUUUUGUCUUCCAUCCGCCUUUCCAGUCCAGUCCAAUAAAAAAUUUGGUGUUGAUUGUGGCGUGUCCUCCUUAGUCUUUAGGUCCUGUCACGGUCGCCAUGUCGAGGGUAGGAUCCGCUAGAUGUAGUUUUACAAUUUAUUUAUAGUUUUCAUGGAGCAUAGCUCCGUUUAUUUUACAUGGCAACUUAUUUGUUUCAGUUCUCAAACUUCACUGCUUCUUGAAGCUAAUACUAUAUUCCUCUUAGGCUAUGAAGUGCGCCUUAGCUGCCUUGUGAAGCCGGCAGAGAAGCGGCUGUACUAUGUAGUACUUAUGCUAAAAAAGUUGGCAGAGAAUGCUAUGUGCGCACAUUGUGUACAUAGCGGCUUUUGGUUAGCGUGGAUCAUACUUUCACUUGAACAUUAUUGUUUAUGCUAACACUGCCCAUGCGUAUGUAAUUAUAUUACUGCUUUAUGCAAGUAUUCUAAGUACAGUGUACUCUCGAUAUGUACGCAUAUCACACUGAUAUGCAACACGAUUGCCCCAUACAGGGGACUAUUCCUUAUUACAUUAUAAUCGGCCAAUAUCGACAUCGAUAUAUCGGCUCUAUUUAUCCAAAACAUAUACGUUUCCUAGUGUCCUUCGAAUAUUUGUAGUUCUUUGACGCAGUCAGAACUCUCUUUCAACUCGUAUGAGGUGCGCGAGUUAACUCUUGAAGGUGGGAAUUGGACAGAGUAAAUACGUUCGUUGGAGUUGAGUAUGAGUUGGGUUGAAUUAAGGUGCUGAUCUGACCGAUAAGUAGAAUUUGGGUGGCCCCCGAUGUUUCUAUCGAUUCAGCAUUUCAAGUACUAAUCGAUACAAAGAGUCCGCGUUUCAAGUGUUAGUCGAUACCAAUACUCAUCGUUACAAAUGUGUCUUCUAAACCUCUGGCUGACGAAAGGGAUUCGGCGGGGGAUCGCUGAGGGUGAAUGCUGAGGCGGUAACUUCUCCCCCCUCAGACAGAACUACCGACCUUAGGGGGGCAUGCGUGGGUGUGAAGGUGGCAAGUGUUCUGGUAGCCGGUGAGCAAAUCGUUGUCUUUAUAGAAUAACAGGCCACGGUGAAUACCAGUAUCAAUAGUAUGCCGAGCAUCGUGUAUAUAGUUGUAUAAAUCGUGGUCUCUAUGUUUCUCUAUGCAGAAAAUUUUUAACUAGUGUAUUUCCAAUUUUCGGGUGGUGCUACUUCUCUUGAUCGGUAUAUCUAAUUUUAGAUAUAGAUGAGGUAUAUCUAAUUUUAGUCCUGAUGUGCCAAGCUUUUUUUUGUCGUUCUUACAAAUGUAUUUAUAAAAAUAUUCUUUAACAACUGACAUUUUUCUUUAUAGUAAUAUAUUUCGUCCCCAUGAAUUGACACAUAAUUUGGAGUUAUCACAAAUUCUGUGUUAUUCAUUGGAAGUGCGAUAAUUCUACGCAAUGAGAAUGUUUCCUUCUUAGAAAAAGGGAAGCUGUUUGAGAAUAGUAUGUAUGUGUUGCUCAUGAUGGCUCUUAAUUCUAAAAACUCAUACAUAUGUUCUGGCGAUAAUAAAUGUAUGCUCUGGUUGUAUGCCAAUUCUUAAAUACAUCUAUUCGUUUCUUGUCUGUGGAAUAUAAAUCUCGAGAUUACUCCUAUCUUGGCCAAUAACAGACUAUGGGCAACAUCGUUUAGUUUCAGUGCCAGCACGUUUGUUGUAAGUGUGUAUUCUAGCCUAUAUAUUAUUUUGCCAUUCUCUUGAAAUAUCUUACGUGUGCCAUUUUUUGAAGUAUGUAUUUAUGAUCGUGUUUACCCUACUUAUUAUAUAUUUCGUUAAGUCUGCUUUACCCUGUGAGCAUAUGCUUUCUCUCAGCCUGUCUUACUCUUCCUGCAUUUUCCUUAUUUCUGUUUCCAGCUUUUUUGCGUCGUCCGAAUCUAAAUUCCCUGUUAUAGAUUUAACCACUGAAACCAGUCCAUUGAAUAAUCCCCUUGUUCUUCUACGUUUGCAUUUUAUUUUGCAGGGAUUUAAGUAUAUCUCUGGUUUCGGAAUGUACUUCUCCAUAUUAUAUUUUCAUGGAAAAGGCCUUACACAUGCCGCUCCCAGUUGUAUCAGAGCCAAUGGUUCAUUCCCUUUUGAUGGUGUGACUUCGAAUCUGCUCUCCUCGGCCACAGCAAUUGACCACCUGUAAAUAAUAUUGUUUAUUUCUUCUGAUCUUUAAUAUGUGGAUUUUCUGAGGUCUGGUUGUUGUUAGGGAUAGGAUGUUAUCUUCCAACACUUUGUGUUUAAAGAACCUGAGAAUGAGUUUGUCCCAUUUUCGGCUUGAAAUGCAUUGAACUUCUGCAAAUAAUCGUACUCAAUAUUGAAUGUCACGUUAUUAUGAAAAUUAUGCGUUCUGCCUGUAAAGAGUUCUUAUGGUGUUAGCUUUGUUGCUGAAUGAAUAGCAAUGUUAUAAACGCCUCACUCAAUAGCUUCGGAUCCCUCAGUUCUAUCUUAUUUAUCUUAUGAUUUUGUAAAAUAAAAGGCUACUAACGCUACUCUUUGCUCCUUUUAUAUUGUUUUAAUUCAACAACAUUUAUCGGUUCAUCCAAAAACCUGAUCUGUAUUAUUUACUACUUCUGACAAGCUUCGUACUGACACUGCCCUUUAAAUAAUUUCCGAAAUUUCGACGUACUAUGUUAUUAUGGUUCUGUUUUACAAAAAGUCUCCAUCCAGUAAUUGCACCGACUGGGCCUCUAUUGUAUAAAUUAAACCAAUUACGUUUGUAUUGAAUGGUUCUUUUUUAUUAGAGCCAACUGCUCUGAAUUCAGGUAUCUUACGAACUAAAUGCAAAUCAAAUAUAUUAAGGCCGCCAAGUCUUCGGUUGGAGGCAGCGGACCCAGCAGAGCGCUUAGUCAGCGCCUCGUGCCGUCUGGAGUUCUGUGCCUUCGACGGUCACCCAGCGCGCACAUGCCCGCCUCGCAUUACGCUGACCCUUGCACAUCGCUUUCGCUAAAGAGAAAUGCGUUACUGGGCUGGCUCAGCGUCGCCGAUGUUAUUGUUGGUCCAUCCGGUCUUGGAUGGCAUUUCGGCGGGUCGUCGCACCCCUCUUCUGACUUGCUCGUGUUAACUUAUAUAGUUCUGAUGGUCUAUAUGCGGCAAAAUGAAGCUUUUGUUUUUUAUUUGCUACGUUGAACUAUACGUUCCGUAUAUCAAUAACCGCCUUCUGCUGCUUUAGCAUACAUAUUCCGAUAAACUUUUCGAAGAACUGAUUAAAGAGAAACAUUCUAAUUUUUCCAGCUCCUCUUAACUUCUUCCUUUCAACAUCAUGCGUUCGCGUGAUGGUUUUGGGUCUUUUAGUUUUCUUAGACUCUUCUGAAUUAGAUGGUUUGGAGUACUCGUUAGUAACCUUUGACACAUCUGGUUUUAAGUGGGGUUUCCGCUUAAUUUUCCGGAGUGUUUUCUCCUCUUUCGUGGUAUGUAGAGGGGUUUCCUGUGGGUUAGAUGACCUGGGGCACUCAUUGGUAGCCUUGGACUCAUCUGUUUGGAUGUGGUCGUACCACAUUUUGAAUGUAUAGCCAUUUAUAGUGACUGUUUGUGAUGAAUAAAUAAUUUGAGAGUUGGUUGGCUCUAAAUAGUUUCUGCCUAAUAGUAAUUCAUAUUUUUCUAAAAAAUUGUGAAUAUAGAAUGUUUGUUUAAUGGGACAAAGUUUGCUUGAAUGCAAUGAUUGGUUAAAUGUUAUAACGCCAUUUAUGGUGUUUUUAAAAGGUUUGAUUUAAAAAUUAAAGAAAUUUUGUUUCAUAAUAUUAAUAGAUGAACCGGUGUCUACUAGGCAUUUCAUAAUAAUAUUAUUCAUUUUAAUUUUUAAGAAUGGGUUACUUCCUCUCGGAGUCAGAGUCGACGCCGGGGAAAAAGGUUGAAGAAAAUUUUUGCAUCCUGUGUCCAUUAUAUAUUGUACACUAACACUUUUUCUCUGUCGUUUGAGAGGAGGGUUUGGUGCACUAUGACUUCAUUGAAAAUUUAAAUGAUUCUGGGCUCUACCUGUAUUUAGUUUUUGUGUGAAUUCACUUGCUAGCCUCGGAUUUAUUUGGGAGGGCCUUGAAUUAAGUGUUUGAACUUAGUGUUUGGAUUUGAUUUAUUUGUAUUAUGCAUAGAAUUGUUCACGAAAUUUUGAUAGUUUCCUUUAUUCUUAGAGGUUUGGGGUUUAAUUGUGUUAAGGCUAGAGUUAUUUUAGGGUUUUCUUCGGUCAUUGAAAGUUAUUUUGUAUACACCUCUUGUUGUGCUUUUUGUUAAAGUUUUGAUACUGUUUUAAUGUCGUGUCUAGCAAGGGUCAUAAAUAACCUAUCGGGCAAUUUUCUCAUGAUAACAUCUUUGAUUGUAUUAUAAUAAUUGUGUAUAAUAAUGUGAAAGAUUUAAUUUCUAACUCUUCGACGAACUUACGGAUACUUCCGCUGAAAGGUGUGUUGUAAAUACGACGGAGUAGUUCUUCACAUGGUGUUUGGGUUUUAUAUUUGUUCAUUAGGGUUGGCUAGGUUAUUGCUCCGGAUAACUGGGAAACUCGUUGAGCAUCUCCUGCAAUUGCGGUGAAGAAUACAUGUCUUUGUCUGGUGUCAGUUGUUGGGUAAAGUUGAAGUAUGACCUCGAUACUUCGGAUAAAAGCACUGAGCUCUUGGGUGUUACCACUAAAUUUUGGUUAAUUUGACUAAAGGCUUGAUUCAGACUGGGUUCCGAUAACAGUUGAACUUGUUCGGUUGCCAUGGUUGAUUUGAGCAGAGUUUUUGGUUCUUGGUUUUUUUGUUUUUAUUGAUCGUAUGCAGUAGGUUUGACUAAUGUGUGUCAACCACCGAUUAUACGUCGCUCUUUUGCGGACAAAACGGAGUUAAUUGUAUUACGAUUUUAUGUUCACUUUAGCGCCGAUUCGCGUGGUUCAAUCUUAAAAGAAACACUUCGUUGUACAAGGAUCUUACUAGAUUGAUAUUUGUAAACAACUCGCACAAUAUAUCCUUUUUAUCCUACCGACUGCAACAUUUACGAAUUCAGACCGAGAGUUUAAAAAAAAAAACGUUGAUUUUUGAUGUAUUAUUAAACGUUUUUUAUUAAUUCCAAUAAGAACUAGAGCCUUUGGAUUAUCACUAGGUUGGAUAAUGGACUUCGAAGUUGAAGUGGGCUUAGCAAAGCUAUCGCAAUUGAUAGCGUACUCAGAACUGAACUAACUAAUGGAGACACGUUUGCGUUUAUAUAUAUAUUAUAUAUAUAUAUAUAUAUAUAAUUAUCACUAGGUUGGAUAAUGGACUUCGAAGUUGAAGUGGGCUUAGCAAAGCUAUCGCAAUUGAUAGCGUACUCAGUACUGAACUAACUAAUGGAGACAUGUUUGCGUUUAUAUAGGCAUUUUGGAAUAGCUUAAGAGCGAAGUUUAAGAUAAUAAAGUUAUAAAAGUCAAUUCUCCCGUAUAUAUAUAUAUUAUAUAUAUAAUAUCCUAUUAAUAUAUAUUAUAAUAUUAAUUUACAUAUAAUUUUAUUUUUUUAAUAUUCUCCUAUUAUUUCUAAUUCUGUCUGUCUGCCGCGUUCAUUACUAACAUUUUUAACACUAAAUUGGAUCUUUCUUAUCAUACCCGUUUUUCGUAAAGUAAUAUCGUAUAUUCGAUUCGUUGAAAAGCUUAUAACAGGUAGGAGAAAGCGUUUCCGACUAUAUGAAGAACAUUCUUGAUUACUAUCAAUAGCCAAGUCGAUCUGGCCGUCUUUCUCUCCGGUCGUAAGAAUAUCGUAAUCUCAGGAACAAUAAAACACAGAAUGUUGAGAUUAAGCACGCAGAUUUAAGAGACAUAGACGCAGUGCAAGUUAGCUUACUAAUGCUGCCGCGCACACUAUAACACACACAAGUCGCAGAAUACUGCCACGCACACACUUUUAGGAAAUGGUUUUUAUUUUUAGUUUUUUUAUUAAUCCCUACUUAAACGUUGCUUAUAACUUUAGCGCGAUUGGCUUCAGCUUUGGGCAUUUUUAAAUCCAUUCUGAGGAUUCUUAAGCCGGGGCUGAGUGAAAUAAUAUGCAUGGGUAUAUUUAGUAAGCAUGUUCUUUUUCUUAGUAACCAUAACAAAAAGAGAAGACCAAGCGCUCUCGGACUCCUCAAUGGCUUAUAUUUGUAACAUUCAAAAUACCUCUGCGUACAUACUUUUUUCAACAUCAGUUGAUGCGGGGAAAUGGUGCUGUCUUACUUCCCACUUAAGUCGAAUAUGAAAUUGAAUUAGUCUUAGGAAACAGUAAUCGACAUUGGCUGGAUGUUAAUCCACUACUUCUUUUUCAAAUUGUUUUGACACACAACGCUCAUGUUGCUGACAUUACAAGUCAGUUAAUUUAACAGUGCGAUUUCGAACCACCGAAUACUUGACUUCCAUCACUGCUGUUAUUGCUUCCCAUAAAACCGGACAUCAGCCCAGCUUUUUACUAGCUUACCUGCUGGAGAUUAUUCUGUUCGAUUGCCAGCCAAGUUAACGUUAGACUUUUUGGGGGAGUUCUACCAGCAAGCUCUGCGAAGAUUCUUAUUUCUUGAGAGAAAACUAGAGCAUCGUCCAGCCAUAAAGGCCCAAUACAAGGCUUUUAUUGAAGAGUAUGGUAAAUACGUCAGCAGUUGCGUUUGAAGAUUCAUGUUCCUGUCGGUAUUUUUUGCCUCAUCAUUGCGUCAUGAAAGGAGAAAAAACCAUCGCAAAGCUUCGCGUCGUUUUGUUUGGAUGGAUCAGAGUCUCCUGAAGCUGACUCCUUAAACAAAGCGGUUAUAUAUAAUAUUUCUACAAAUAUUAAAAACAAAUGUGCCAAAUUCAUGUGUGAGGACUUAUAACUCUACAUGGUUUUCUUGACCGACCGCCGGUAAAACCUGACCUACCUAAAGAACAGACAAACGUAAGAAAAAGACCCUUUAACAUAAAACGGUUUAGCGGUUUGAAAGCUUCCAUAAUAUAUUUGGUUUUUAAAUCCGAUUUUAGCCCUUUACUUUUUUUACCUUAUCUAGAUUUUUAAUUUAGUUAUUCUUGCUGAUACCCUCAAAAGCAAAAAAGCAACUAACUCUUAUUUUCACAAGAAUAUGAUAUGGAACCUAUUUAUAUUCUUAUGUAUAUAUAGUCCAAACUCUAUUUGUCGUUUUCCAACAACAUUUUUUUAAAUGUCAUAGAAUCAAUGUAGCAAUGAAGCAGUCCUUUGACGUGUUGCUUUGUAAAAAAAAAGGAAUGGGGGCGAUAUCGCGAACUAUUAUGGAAUGGCUAAAAUAGAUCAUACGUCAAUUGCAACACCGAUGUCGGUCGCUUGCUUCGCCAUGUCAACAUAGAUUCACGUACUGCCGAUUAACUGCUUCAAAUGGUUACUAAAUGGUACUAAAUCGCAGUUUUUUAAAGCCGUUGCCUUUAUUUGUUGAUGGUGCACUAACGCACGUAUAUGGCAGUCACCGCAAAAUAUAUUAAAGUUCGUAUAAAUGAAUAUCUUGUUAUUUGCUAUAAAAGGAUUUAUAUAAGUAAUUGGCUUCAGUAGGAAUUGUACACUACCAGUCCACGCUUGCUAGACUUUUUCACCCUGAUCAACCGUCGGGCUUGCCAUGGUGUUAUAAGAAGAACUAAGACUGAGGUUCCUUGUAUUUUGCAGGUCAAUUCGUCAUCAACAGCCUUUCUCUCUUCCAGUGUGCAAGUCCAUUUAUGACAUGCAUACCAUCUCCGAGUUCUUUGUGAAAAUUAUAUUGUCUUCAAACAUAUCUCAGUGCCGUCAAUGUAACCCCCUUGAUGGCUAUUAUUUCUUAUGUCUUUAUAGCUCUGUAUUAAGUCCUCGUCACUGUCAUUGUUUUCGAUACUGUUUCUAUACAUCGGACAAUGAUACUUUUUUAAUUUUUUUUUUAUAAUUUGUAUGAGAAAGAGGUUAAUUUUCCUUCUUCAUCAUUUUUUUAAACAAUUUGUAAAUGAAAAUCGCUAUCCUGAACUUUUAAUUGCAAUCACUAUUUUUUUUUGUUUUAUUUCGUUACUUAUUAUGUGUAUUUUUUUCAAAAAUUGGCACACAUGUCUGGUUGACGUUAAAAGAGGUAAAUUGAAAAUAAAGAUCUCACUUACAUGUUAUAUUGGUAUACUGGUAUAAUAAAAAUGCAUCGGAGACGGUAGCUGGUUGAUCCGUUUAUCCUCUGACUGUCGUUGAUUUAGCUGAUUACUGUUGAUAUGCAGCGGUUUUCACUGUUGCUUGUGCAGCGUUGUUUUGUUUUUGUAUUAUUUUGUUUGUUUGUUGCUGUUCACUAUUAUUGUGCAGCGCGCGAGUCCGAAGUGUUUUCAAAGUAAACCCGAUUACGAGACCUUGAUUUCUAGAUCUUUUUAUUAAGGCCGCCAAGUCUUCGGUUGGAGGCAGCGGACCCAGCAGAGCGCUUAGUCAGCGCCUCGUGCCGUCUGGAGUUCCGUGCCUUCGACGGUCACCCAGCGCGCACAUGCCCGCCUCGCAUUACGCUGACCCUUGCACAUCGCUUUCGCUAAAGCGAAAUGCGUUACUGGGCUGGCUCAGCGUCGCCGAUGUUAUUGUUGGUCCAUCCGGUCUUGGAUGGCAUUUCGGCGGGUCGUCGCACCCCUCUUCUGACUUGCUCGUGUUAACUUAUAUAGUUCUGAUGGUCUAUAUGCGGCAAAAUGAAGCUUUUGUUUUUUAUUUGCUACGUUGAACUAUACGUUCCGUAUAUCAAUAACCGCCUUCCGCUGCUGUAGCAUACAUAUUCCAAUAAACUUUUCGAAGAACUGAUUAAAGAGAAACAUUCCAAUUUUUCAAGCUCCACUUAACUCAUGCGGUCGCGUGAUGGUUUUGGGUCUUUUAGUUUUCUUAGACUCUUCUGAAUUAGAUGGUUUGGAGUACUCGUUAGUAACCUUUGACACAUCUGGUUUUAAGUGGGGUUCUCGCUUAAUUUUCCGGAGUGUUUUCUCCUUUUUCGGGGUAUGUAGAGGGGUUUCCUGUGGGUUAGAUGACCUGGGGCACUCAUUGGUAGCCUUGGACUCAUCUGUUUGGAUGUGGUCGUACCACAUUUUAAAUGUAUAGCCAUUUAUAGUGACUGUUUGUGUUGAAUAAAUAAUUUGAGAGUUGGUUCUAAAGUUGGCUCUAAAUAGUUUCUGCCUAAUAGUAAUUCAUAUUUUUCUGAAAAUUGUGAAUAUAGAAUGUUUGUUUAAUGGGACAAAGUUUGCUUGAAUGCAAUGAUUGGUUACAUGUUAUAACGCCAUUUAUGGUGUUUUUAAAAGGUUUGAUUGAAAAAUUAAAGAAAUUUUGUUUCAUAAUAUUAAUAGAUGAACCGGUGUCUACUAGGCAUUUCAUAAUAAUAUUAUUCAUUUUAAUUUUUAAGAAUGGGUUACUUCCUCUCGGAGUCAGAGUCGACGCCGGGGAAAAAGGUUGAAGAAAGUUUUUGCAUCCUGUGUCCAUUAUAUAUUGUACACUAACACUUUUUCUCUGUCGUUUGAGAGGAGGGUUUGGUGCACUAUGACUUCAUUGAAAAUUUAAAUGAUUCUGGGCUCUACCUGUAUUUAGUUUUUGUGUGAAUUCACUUGCUAACCUCGGAUUUAUUUGGGAGGGCCUUGAAUGAAGUGUUUGAACUUAGUGUUUGGAUUUGAUUUAUUUGUAUUAUGCAUAGAAUUGUUCACGAAAUUUUGAUAGUUUCCUUUAUUCUUAGAGGUUUGGGGUUUAAUUGUUGUUGGGUCAAAACCCAAUUAGAAUAAUCUUGUAUAUUUGAAUUCCGCGUUUUUUGAAUGAUGUUAACAUAACAGCUGUUGCGCUAGGCUGCCAACUCGUACUAGCGAACGAGUGGCAGAUAAGAAUUGGAAAAAAGAGAGGAUAGAACAAGGACAGAUAAAAAAUUGAAGUUUAAGAUAUAGCCACGAGGAGUUUAAGUGAGGAGAAAUAAUCAAGAAUUGUCAUUAAAAUUUAACUAUUAAACUAGCACCAUCCGACUUAUCAUUUAUACUCAAGAAAAAGCUCUUGUUUUUACAUUUUGGCGACCGUGACAGGACUUGUGCUACGUUUUAGUUAAUUGUGGUGAUGAUUGUGGUUACGUUCGCCCCCAUUUUUACUUUGCUCUAAGUCUCGCACGCGCAUUUACGACUUUUGCCCUGCCAAACUCUCGUACAUUCGCGCAUCGCGUUCGCUGCCGGUCUACCCAGCGUCCGCAUAGGAUUUUCACUAGUGCAUUUGCCCACAACUACAUGCGGCGCAGGUGCCGGCUAUACUCAAGGGUCUCCCGCCGCAUCAUUGGACAUCGUUGGACAUCCUCCAAGUGUCAUCGCCAUAGUUGGAGUCGACAUCUCGGUCCUCCAUCUAUACAUAUUGCCCCCAGGAGCACCCCAUACAUAACCUCAUUCUGUCGCAACACUCUAGGUUGCACUCUAGGCUUGGCGAGCGAAAAUUUUCCACUACAUCUCGUCGUCUCGCUCGCUCUCACAGACCUUGUCAAGCAAGGAAUAUCCAGAUCGAAAUUAAAUAAAGUAAACAAACAUCUGCAAAAAUGUCUUCGCUGGAGCAACUUAAAGCUCAACGAACGAGUGCUCGAAAAAACCUUACACGUAUGAGCAAAUCAGUGGAACCUGGUUUGAAUUUAUCUCCGUUGGAAUUAUCUUGCCGUUUGUCGAUUUUGGAAUCGUAUUUUAAACUUGCUUUAUCUACCCAGGAAGCCAUAGAGCAGAUGGAGCCAGCUGAGGCGCAGCGCAAUACUCGCUUCGAACUAGAGGAACUGUUUAUCCACGCCAAGGUUUGCGUUCAGGAGCAACUUGGACCAGACGCUAACAGCACCGGCAUUCAUGAAUCUACGGUUAAUUUUGGGCACACAUCUGCAGUUAAGCUCCCGCGCUUAUCAUUGCCGACAUUUGACGGCAAAUACUGCGAGUACCAAAACUUUAUCUUGUCGUUUAACCAAGUUAUUGGCCACCAGCCAUCCAUGUCUAAGAUCGAGAAGUUCAACCAGUUGUUAAACUGUCUUCGAGGACCAGCCCUUGGAACGGUUCGAGCUUUCCAGGUGACCGCAGACAACUACACAAAGGCUCUGGACCGCUUAAAGCAGCGCUAUGACAACCCGACUCUCGUAUUUUUGGAUAACAUAUCGUCACUCUUCGCAUUGCCAACUGUCGCCAAGUCAAAUGGUCAGCAGCUGCGCAGCCUAAUCGAUAAUGCAUCCGCAUUAUACAACUCGUUGCGUUCGUUGAGCACCGAGCCACAGAUUUGCGAGGCCAUGCUCAUCUCCAUAGUUAUGGGCAAAGUGGACCAGGAGACUAAGAGGAAGUGGAAUGAGUCGCUGGACUACACUACGUUGCCUUCGUGGGACAAAUGCGUUGGAGUCGUUGAACGUCAUUGUCAAUAUUUGGAAUCGGAUAAGAAGCCUCCUGCUGAAGCCCCUAUGGGUCAACCAGGUGGCCAUAGGUCGCGCUCGCAGAGGAAUCAGGCAAGUCUGUCCUUCAAUUGCACCACACAAACUUGUAACAUCUGUUCACAGACAGACCACAAGACCUUUAGAUGCCCAGAACUAAUCAAUCUCGCCUUAGAUAAUCGCCUUAAUGCAGUAAAGCGCCACAAGCUAUGCAUUAAUUGCCUUGGCAGGGGUCAUCUUGUAGCCAACUGCCCGUCGACGCGGAGGUGCCACUCAUGUGCACUACCGCAUCACUCGCUGCUUCAUCGGCCAUCGCCAGGAUCGGCCGCAGCUCCCUUGCCACUCCCUCAAGCGGAGCCUGUACAAGUUUCGGACGCAGUCGCGCAUACUCACACGGAGUCUCGUUCCGACUGUGUCAUUCUGGCCACGGCACUGAUUCUGGUCAAGGAUGCAGCUGGAAGCUACAAAAUAGGAAGAGCGCUUCUGGAUUCAUGUUCUCAGGUGAAUUUCAUAUCCGAGGAGUUUGCUCAAAGACUUCGACUGCCACGGAGCAAGCUCAACCUCGAGAUUCGUAGCAUUGGUGAGACACAAACGCGAAUUAAACACCAUGCAACCACCAAUAUCAAGUCGAGGCACAAUGGAUUCGAGUUGCUCCUUGAUUUUUGCGUGACAUCCCACAUUGCCUAUCAUCCAGAAUCGGAAAUUGACAUUUCUGCGUGGAACUUUCCGCAGCACUCAUCUCUUGCUGACGAGAGCUUUAACAAGUCUCGUCGGAUCGAUCUGCUUUUGGGGACGGAAACCUUCUUCGAUAUAUUGGCAGUCGGCCAAGUUAAAUUAGGAAAGGAUCUGCCCGUACUACAAAAAACACUACUUGGAUGGAUAGUGUCUGGUCGAUGUCGAGCUCAUCCCAGAACACUCCAUCAGUACUCAUCUAUCGCAUUAACAGAAAUUGACCAAAAAAUGGAACGGCUAUGGCGCAUCGAUCAUGUGGAGCCUCCUGAGAUCACACUUACGCCAGAGCAGCGAAACUGUGAGGAGUUCUACACCAAAACGGUACGACGUAAUUCAGAUGGUCGAUUGGAAGUACGACUUCCAUUUAAAGAUGAACCUACCGUUCCCGGAGCCUCAUUCGACAUUGCCAAAAGGAGAUUCCUCUCCCUCGAACGCAGCCUAUGCAAAAGGCCUGAGAUAGGGGCCAAAUAUGUUGAAUUUAUGCAGGAGUUUCAAAAUCUGGGACACAUGAGUCCCGUGAGCCAUCCACAGUUAAACACUCCGCAUUAUUAUAUUCCGCACCACUGCGUGCUCAAGCCUAAUAGCACAUCAACAAAGCUCAGAGUGGUUUUCGACGCAUCCUGCAAGACGACGUCCCAGAAAUCGCUCAACGACAUUCUGAUGGUCGGGCCGACCAUUCAGCCAGAUCUUUAUACACUACUCCUGCGUUUUCGGAUACAUCGCUAUGCCAUCACUGCUGAUGUGGUCAAGAUGUUCCGCCAAGUCAACAUGUUUGCCGAGGAUCGCAGAUUCCAAUACAUUCUUUGGAGAGCGUCGCCAUCGCAACCAUUGAGCACCUUCGAAUUGAAUACUGUAACUUAUGGCACAGCGGCUGCACCGUAUCUAGCCAUACGCAGUUUGUCAUAUCUAGCCGACAAAUUCAUGGACAAAUUGGAGAUUGGAGCUAAAGCCAUCAAAUCGUCUUUCUAUGUGGAUGACUUCCUAGGUGGAGCGGAUACGGUAGAGGAGCUACAUCAAAUCAAAAGGGAAGUUACAGCGAUUCUACAGGAUGGCCAAUUGGAACUCGCAAAAUGGCAUUCAAAUCACUGCAAGUUUGUCGAUGACGCUACAGUCAAACAUUUGCAGUUGGACGACGAAAUGCUAACCAGCACGCUUGGCCUAAAAUGGGACCAAGUACGGGACACAUUCAUGUUCUCGUUCUCGCCAAGAUUCGAUUCGGACCACGUCACCAAGCGCUCGAUUUUGUCCAUAGCCUCUUCGCUGUUUGAUCCGUUGGGAUUAGUUACUCCCAUUAUCAUAGUGGCAAAAAUUAUCCUCCAGGAGCUGUGGCUCCUAAAACUACAUUGGGACGAGUCAGUACCCCAAGGCAUUCAUACAGCUUGGAUGUCCCUGCUUGCAUCGCUUUCGUCGUUGGAGUCUGUAGCAAUACCACGAUAUUGCCUCCAAUCAGCGAUACAUACCUUUCAAAUACACGGCUUUUGUGACGCCUCCAUUCGAGCGUAUGGAUGCUGCAUCUACGCUCGCACAAUCGGAUCAGAUGGGCUGACCAAGGUACAGCUAAUCACAUCGAAGUCCAGAGUUGCUCCCACCAAGAAGCUAUCUCUGCCGAAAUUAGAACUGUGUGGAGCACAUUUGUUAGCACAGCUCUACAAAAAAAUCAUUAGAAUCUUCGCUGACAGAAAGCCGACUUCGUUCUUAUGGUGCGAUUCUCAAAUUGUUCUACAUUGGAAUCGCCAACACUCGGCCACCUUAUCAACCUUUGUCGGCAAUCGAAUUGCCGAAAUUCAAGAACUCACGUCAGAUUGCCACUGGAAACAUGUUCCUACUCACUGCAACCCGGCUGAUAUCUUGUCCAGGGGCUGCACUAUCACCGAGUUGGAACAAUCGAUAUGGUUCGAGGGACCUGAGUUCCUAGGCCAAGAUCAUCAACAUUGGCCAAAGGACAGUCGAGACAACAGUGACAUUGAUAUGGAAACUGUCCAACUGGAAAAGAGAAAAUCAGCCUUUGCCGUACACACGACUAGUAAUCAACUACUUGAAGGAAUCUACAAGAUCAGUUCGCAUCAUCGCUGCCUACUAGUUAUCGCUUGGGUGUACAGAUUUACUCAGCGCUGCCGUAAACUAACGCCAUUCCAAUCACCUUCGCCGACGCCAGCAGAACUGAUGCGGGCGCUACAUUGCAUCGUCUGGAAUAUUCAAACUAUUCACUUCGCUCAAGAGAUGUCCUCGGUCCUGAAGGGCCAUCCGAUUCGCACUAACCUUAAAAAUCUUAGUCUCUUCCUCCAGGUUACAGAUGGCUUCCAAAUGCUAAAGGUCGGAGGGCGCCUGGAGCUAGCAGACUACCCAAAAACCCAAAAGCAUCCUGUGCUGCUCCCAGCUAAGGAUCCAUUUGUGUCACAGUUCGCUCGCCAUCUUCAUCUACAGAACUAUCACGCCGGGCCACGGACGCUCGUCGCUUUAAUUAGAAAACAGUUCUGGAUAGUGAAUGCAAGGGACUUGGCGCGACAAGUCGUUCGCUCAUGUAUACAUUGUCGCCGCUAUCGACCAACUCUCGAAAGGCAGCUAAUGGGCCAACUGCCUAAAGAGCGGAUCACACCAUCUAGACCAUUUUCAAGAUGCGGAAUAGACUUUUGCGGACCAAUCAACGUCUAUUUGCGCAUCCGGGGUAAGCCGCCUACCAAGGCCUACCUAGCCGUCUUCGUUUGCUUUGCCACGAAGGCGAUACAUGUCGAAGUGGUAUCGGAUCUCACGACGGAUAGCUUCAUUGCAUCACUAAAGCGUUUUAUUGCCCGACGCGGACUUCCCUCGGACAUAUUCUGUGACAACGCUACAAAUUUCGCAGGAGCUAACAACAAGCUCGAAUCGUUGAAGCAGUUUCUGUUUAAAGACGAAACAACAAGAACAAUCCACUAUUUCUGUCGCUCAGAGUUUAUUAACUUCCACUUUAUUCCACCCAGGGCUCCACACUUCGGGGGCAUAUGGGAAGCUGCAGUAAAAAGUGUCAAGGGACUACUCAAUCGCACUCUUCGAGACACAAGGUUAACCUUCGAGGAGUUAGCCACUGCAGCUGCUGACGUCGAGGCGAUACUGAACUCUCGCCCGUUAACGCCGCUCUCAUCAGACCCGAACGACCUGGCCGCUCUCACGCCUGGCCACUUCUUAGUGGGUGACGCACUCCGAGCACUACCGGAACUUCCACCAAUCGACGACAACCUGGACAAGUUGGAUCGAUGGAAAAGGGUCAGCGCACUCAAACAUCACAUCUGGAGUCGCUGGAGCCACGAGUACAUCAACGAGCUCCAAGUUCGCACAACCUGGACGAAGACUUCACCAAAUUUGGCUGUCAACGACAUGGUAAUCGUUCACGAGGAUAAUCUUCCUCCACAACGGUGGCUUCUUGGGCGCAUAGUCAGCACGAUUGCAGGAGCGGACAACAUCGUGCGUGUAGCCGACGUACGCACUGCCAAGGGAAUCAUCCGCCGCCCUAUACGGAAACUCGCCUUAUUACCUGUCUCUUGAAAGUCAAUCGCAUACUUUCAAGGGGGCCGGUAUGUUGGGUCAAAACCCAAUUAGAAUAAUCUUGUAUAUUUGAAUUCCGCGUUUUUUGAAUGAUGUUAACAUAACAGCUGUUGCGCUAGGCUGCCAACUCGUACUAGCGAACGAGUGGCAGAUAAGAAUUGGAAAAAAGAGAGGAUAGAACAAGGACAGAUAAAAAAUUGAAGUUUAAGAUAUAGCCACGAGGAGUUUAAGUGAGGAGAAAUAAUCAAGAAUUGUCAUUAAAAUUUAACUAUUAAACUAGCACCAUCCGACUUAUCAUUUAUACUCAAGAAAAAGCUCUUGUUUUUACAAUUGUGUUAAGGCUAGAGUUAUUUUAGGGUUUUCUUCGGUCACUGAAAGUUAUUUUGUAUACACCUCUUGUUGUGCUUUUUGUUAAAGUUUUGAUACUGUUCUAAUGUCGUGUCUAGCAAGGGUCAUAAAUAACCUAUCGGGCAAUUUUCUCAUGAUAACAUCUUUGAUUGUAUUAUUUAAAACAUUUGUGUAUAAUAAUGUGAAAGAUUUAAUUUCUAACUCUUCGACGAACUUACGGAUACUUCCGCUGAAAGGUGUGUUGUAAAUACGACGGAGUAGUUCUUCACAUGGUGUUUGGGUUUUAUAUUCGUUCAUUAGGGUUGGCUAGGUUAUUGCUCCGGAUAACUGGGAAACUCGUUGAGCAUCUCCUGCAAUUGCGGUGAAGAAUACAUGUUUUUGUCUGGUGUCAGUUGUUGGGUAAAGUUGAAGUAUGACCUCGAUACUUCGGAUAAAAGCACUGAGCUCUUGGGUGUUACCACUAAAUUUUGGUUAAUUUGACUAAAGGCUUGAUUCAGACUGGGUUCCGAUAACAGUUGAACUUGUUCGGUUGCCAUGGUUGAUUUGAGCAGAGUUUUUGGUUCUUGGUUUUUUUGUUUUUAUUGAUCGUAUGCAGUAGGUUUGACUAAUGUGUGUCAACCACCGAUUAUACGUCGCUCUUUUGCGGACAAAACGGAGUUAAUUGUAUUACGAUUUUAUGUUCACUUUAGCGCCGAUUCGCGUGGUUCAAUCUUAAAAGAAACACUUCGUUGUACAAGGAUAUUACUAGAUUGAUAUUUGUAAACAACUCGCACAAUAUAUCCUUUUUAUCCUACCGACUGCAACAUUUACGAAUUCAGACCGAGAGUUAAAAAAAAAAACCGUUGAUUUUUGAUGUAUUAUUAAACGUUUUUUAUUAAUUCUAAUAAGAACUAGAGCCUUUGGAUUAUCACUAGGUUGGAUAAUGGACUUCGAAGUUGAAGUGGGCUUAGCAAAGCUAUCGCAAUUGAUAGCGUACUCAGUACUGAACUAACUAAUGGAGACAUGUUUGCGUUUAUAUAGGCAUUUUGGAAUAGCUUAAGAGCGAAGUUUAAGAUAAUAAAGUUAUAAAAGUCAAUUCUCCCGUAUAUAUAUAUAUUAUAUAUAUAAUAUCCUAUUAAUAUAUAUUAUAAUAUUAAUUUACAUAUAAUUUUAUUUUUUUAAUAUUCUCCUAUUAUUUCUAAUUCUGUCUGUCUGCCGCGUUCAUUACUAACAUUUUUAACACUAAAUUGGAUCUUUCUUAUCAUACCCGUUUUUCGUAAAGUAAUAUCGUAUAUUCGAUUCGUUGAAAAGCUUAUAACAGGUAGGAGAAAGCGUUUCCGACUAUAUGAAGAACAUUCUUGAUUACUAUCAAUAGCCAAGUCGAUCUGGCCGUCUUUCUCUCCGGUCGUAAGAAUAUCGUAAUCUCAGGAACAAUAAAACACAGAAUGUUGAGAUUAAGCACGCAGAUUUAAGAGACAUAGACGCAGUGCAAGUUAGCUUACUAAUGCUGCCGCGCACACUAUAACACACACAAGUCGCAGAAUACUGCCACGCACACACUUUUAGGAAAUGGUUUUUAUUUUUAGUUUUUUUAUUAAUCCCUACUUAAACGUUGCUUAUAACUUUAGCGCGAUUGGCUUCAGCUUUGGGCAUUUUUAAAUCCAUUCUGAGGAUUCUUAAGCCGGGGCUGAGUGAAAUAAUAUGCAUGGGUAUAUUUAGUAAGCAUGUUCUUUUUCUUAGUAACCAUAA